GAUGAACGCUGGCGGCGUGCCUAAUACAUGCAAGUCGAGCGAACAGACGAGAAGCUUGCUUCUCUGAUGUUAGCGGCGGACGGGUGAGUAACACGUGGAUAACCUACCUAUAAGACUGGGAUAACUUCGGGAAACCGGAGCUAAUACCGGAUAAUAUUUUGAACCGCAUGGUUCAAAAGUGAAAGACGGUCUUGCUGUCACUUAUAGAUGGAUCCGCGCUGCAUUAGCUAGUUGGUAAGGUAACGGCUUACCAAGGCAACGAUGCAUAGCCGACCUGAGAGGGUGAUCGGCCACACUGGAACUGAGACACGGUCCAGACUCCUACGGGAGGCAGCAGUAGGGAACCUUCCGCAAUGGGCGAAAGCCUGACGGAGCAACGCCGCGUGAGUGAUGAAGGUCUUCGGAUCGUAAAACUCUGUUAUUAGGGAAGAACAUAUGUGUAAGUAACUGUGCACAUCUUGACGGUACCUAAUCAGAAAGCCACGGCUAACUACGUG
rnacentral:rRNA from 1 species